rnacentral:lncRNA from 1 species
UCUCUUUCUCCAAUUUCUUGCCAGUGCCCUCUACUCACCUAAAAGAAUCAGAAGGUAGCUGGAAGCAGACAACCACAGUGAUGUAGAGCCUGGAGCACACAGUAUGGAAGAGAAGCACCGAAGAGAUAUGGGUGGGGAAAAAUGGAGAAGAAUAGAGACCGUGACUUCCGCUGAUCCUCAGUUUGAGAUGCCCAUGGGCAGAGAAACCUCCUUCUUCAUUUCAUGGUACCAUACGUGUUUCAUGGAAUGGAUAUGCCCA